CAGUAGCCGCGGUAAUACGGAGGGUGCAAGCGUUAAUCGGAAUUACUGGGCGUAAAGCGCACGCAGGCGGUCUGACAAGUCAGAUGUGAAAUCCCCGGGCUUAACCUGGGAACUGCAUUUGAAACUGUCAGGCUGGAGUCUUGUAGAGGGGGGUAAAAUUCCAGGUGUAGCGGUGAAAUGCGUAGAGAUCUGGAGGAAUACCGGUGGCGAAGGCGGCCCCCUGGACAAAGACUGACGCUCAGGUGCGAAAGCGUGGGGAGCAAACAGGAUUAGAUACCCGUGUAGUCCCUGUCUCUUAUAC
rnacentral:rRNA from 1 species